UAAACUUUAGCUCUAGGAUCCAAACACCCCUAUGUUUUUGGAACAACACGUAAUUGCUUACGCAGAAUGGUAUAGUACAUGAUUUUUGUGGUGUUGUAUACGCCACACCCAAAGUGACAUUCUCACAUUCCAACGCAAAGGACGAUCCGUGCAUAAGAAAGCAUGAACAUAUUACAUCGUACAUGGUGCAUAAGAAAGCAUGAACAUAGUACAUGUUCUUACAGUGAAUGGUGCCCUCCGAG
rnacentral:lncRNA from 1 species